ensembl:lncRNA
AAAAACAAAAGCAGAAUGUACCUGCCUUUAUCUGCUAAAUAUAGUUGCAAAUGCUGCUUCGCUUUUGGGAGAGCUGUUAAAGAGAUUCUACUGGAAGAGUACUCAGGGGUCUAGUAUAUAUUUGAAUGUCUUAGAUAGAUUCAAAUUACUGAAAUAUUAUUAGGAAGAAAUACUAUUAGGAUUUGUGUAACCAUGUGUUAACUUCCCAGGUACAGAAUGGAGUACAAAUGUUGCUGUUAAUGUCGGAAUCCAGAUAUGUGGAUGUGAUGGCUGACAUUGUGUCCAGUGUACUGUCACUACAUUUACAAGAUAUGAUAUUGUUCUGAAACUUAUAAAUGGCUUAAAUACACUACAAAUUAAGAAUAAAACCUAUCUAAAGAGACAGUGCUAUUGAAAUGGAAAAUAACAGAUACAGGAAUGAUAUUCAUGAAGGAGUGUUUCAGGGGGUUAACUUAUUUAAUAUGUUCAUUAAUGACACUGGCACAGAAGAUAUGUGCGAAAAACAAAGUGAUAGAUGUUUGUGCAGGCAAGAGCUGAGCUUUUUUUUAAAAAAUACCUUACUGCUGUGACCUUGAAGCAUGUAGUAAUACAGAAUGGUCUGGAGGUCUGUAAAAAGAUGAAAAUAACUAGAAUUUCUGCUACAAAUGACACCUUGACUGUUAAUAUGACAAGCUGGAGGUUCUUGCAGAUCUGAUGUAUUUCUAGUAAAGAAGGGAUUCAGCACGUGAACACUGGAAUCUAGUCUGAACUUCAGAAGAGCACUGUCCUGCUCCAGACUGAAGACAUGAAAAAUGGGAUUGGUCCCUGGCUGAAGUCUGAACUAUCGUGUAUGAGAAAUUAUCGGACAUUCCUAAGUAUUCCAAAGUAACUUCUAAACGUUAAAAUAUAUUCUUUCCAAUCAUUUACAUAGAAUUCCUAUUUUUCAGGGAUGGGAGGGGGGACAUAGUUGGUGAAAUUAGUUUAAGAAUUGGUCCUGGUAAAGCCCCUCAUAAUUUGUGCUUAUAAAUAGUGUAUGCAAGGUACAGUGUAAUAGUAACAGAAAAGAAAUUCUACAGUUAGAGCUGCAUCCUAAAUGUACUUUAACCUAGUAUGAAUUACAGAGACCCAAAAUACGAUUUCUUUUAUGGACCUAUCGAUCUUCAACACUGUAGAAACACUGUCUAUUAGAAGAAACAGGCUGAAGUGAUGCUAUUAGAUAGUGCAUGGGAAUGUUUAACUCCC